AAGGUUUUAAGUUAAGUAAACUAAUAGCCUUCAAAGUUAUAAAUAAAAGUUAUUUCUUUUAAACCUUA
rnacentral:tRNA from 1 species